ensembl:ncRNA C46A5.14 ncRNA
CUGAGCACGUGGAAAAUAGAAUAAGAAGGAAUAAAAGGCGUUUUCUCAUCUCCUUUUUUUAAGGAGAAAUGAAUGAUGCUGGGCUUCGCGCUUAUAACAAUUAUAAUAAAGAUGAUGCUUCGAGAU